rnacentral:rRNA from 1 species
GUCGUGGGCGUAGGAAAUUUGAGAGGAGCUGUCCUUAGUACGAGAGGACCGGGAUGGACAUACCUCUGGUGUACCAGUUGUCGUGCCAACGGCAUAGCUGGGUAGCUAUGUAUGGACGGGAUAAGUGCUGAAAGCAUCUAAGCAUGAAGCCCCCCUCAAGAUGAGAUUUCCCAACUUCGGUUAUAAGAUCCCUCAAAGAUGAUGAGGUUAAUAGGUUCGAGGUGGAAGCGUGGUGACACGUGGAGCUGACGAAUACUAAUCGAUCGAAGACUUAAUCAAAAUU